UGUUAAGGAGAGAUUUACGCGAUCCAACAGCUGAAAUUUCAUCUAAAGCAUGAUCGGAUGGUCAGAAAUACAUCCGACUUUGAUAAGGAUUAAAACAUCAGAUUUUGGACUGAUCUAGGCAGUUCGAAUGCGAUCUGACAGUCAGAAAUUAAUGUAAAGGAUAUUAUAUGAAUUCUAAAAAUUUUAAGACUCUUUUUUCUAUAAAAAAUA
rnacentral:lncRNA from 1 species